rnacentral:rRNA from 1 species
ACGCUGGCGGCAGGCCUAACACAUGCAAGUCGAGCGGAAACGACAUCAUCGAUUCUUCGGAUGAUUUAAUGGGCGUCGAGCGGCGGACGGGUGAGUAAUGCCUAGGAAAUUGCCUUGAUGUGGGGGAUAACCAUUGGAAACGAUGGCUAAUACCGCAUAAUGCCUACGGGCCAAAGAGGGGGAUCUUCGGACCUCUCGCGUCAAGAUAUGCCUAGGUGGGAUUAGCUAGUUGGUGAGGUAAUGGCUCACCAAGGCGACGAUCCCUAGCUGGUCUGAGAGGAUGAUCAGCCACACUGGAACUGAGACACGGUCCAGACUCCUACGGGAGGCAGCAGUGGGGAAUAUUGCACAAUGGGCGAAAGCCUGAUGCAGCCAUGCCGCGUGUAUGAAGAAGGCCUUCGGGUUGUAAAGUACUUUCAGUUGUGAGGAAGGGUGUGUAGUUAAUAGCUGCRYAUCUUGACGUUAGCAACAGAAGAAGCACCGGCUAACUCCGUGCCAGCAGCCGCGGUAAUACGGAGGGUGCGAGCGUUAAUCGGAAUUACUGGGCGUAAAGCGCAUGCAGGUGGUUCAUUAAGUCAGAUGUGAAAGCCCGGGGCUCAACCUCGGAACUGCAUUUGAAACUGGUGAACUAGAGUGCUGUAGAGGGGGGUAGAAUUUCAGGUGUAGCGGUGAAAUGCGUAGAGAUCUGAAGGAAUACCAGUGGCGAAGGCGGCCCCCUGGACA